UUCUUCUCCCUUUCCUCCACCAUCACCUUCCAACCAAACCUGAAUCUGUUUUUCUCUUCAGGAGUUGAUGAGUGUUCGUCAGGAUAUUCUGGAGAAGGAGAAAGAAAAAAAUCUGAUAUAUAAAGCAGAAACAAACAAGGAAGCCCAAGUCCUUCUUAAGCAAAUAGAAGAAAAAAUGGAAAAAACCUUAGAAGAAAGCACACAAGUGCGUCAGUUUCUAGAAGAACAAGAGAAACAUAUUCAGGUCCAGAUGGAAGAGCUGAAGAAGCAGAUUACAAGGGAAAGAGAUGAGCACUUGGUCCAAUUAUCCCAGAAUGUUUCCUCUCUGGAAAGUCUUAUACAGGAGAUGAAAGAGAAAUGUCAGCAUCCACCAGUUGAACUGUUGCAGGUAAGACUGGCCAAAAGAAACUUGCUGCU
rnacentral:lncRNA from 11 species